ensembl:lncRNA
UUCUGUUUCAUGAGGACUUUUUUUGCUUCUGUCUUCACAGAUUCUAUGGACAUUUGGACUAUAUAGAUGUCAGCAUUUCAUUUAAAGCAGCAUCUGCAGUGAUUCACAAGACCAAAGAACUACAGACUCUUCACAACCUGCUCAAACUCUUGGUACAGGACCUCACCACACGGGUCAAGAAGGUUUUUGUCUCAUUUCUACUCUGAAGCUCACCUUCUCCUGCUCAAACUGCUGACAAAUGUUUCUGCUGCUCUAAAGUCUGGUCUCCAGAACUUCCUAAAAACUCUCAAAGUCUCUUCUGCUGCAGGUUGCUUUGUAGAACUGUUCCAGAAAACCUCACUAAACCACAUGGAGGGGCCUCAAGAUAGUCGUCCAAAUGAAACCAUACAAAAACCAAACAAGCACAACCCAAACACUAAAGUCUCCUGCAGCCUACCAGAGAACCUCUGAGAACAGAGAAUCAGGACAGGAACUCUUACCUUCUGGACAACCAACGCUGGUUCUCAAACAAGAAUACAGAAUGUGUCUGACCAAAAACCUCUGAAGACUCACUACAGCCAAGAUAAAGACACAACUCAGCUGCACCAAAUCCACUAAUCACUGCACACAUUAGCACCAUGUGCUAACUGUGGCUAAAGAACCACAUUUACCAAGACAACGAUCCAGUACAAAGCCCUAAAACACACCAAGAAACACAUUAAAGAUGAUUUUACUGCUGGAAGCUGCAAGCCAACGCCUAAAGAACAAACUAAAGCAAUGGAGCCAAACCCGGUUCAGUUGGUGAACAGAAGCAGAGGAAAUGUUUGUCUGCAGCUAAACAAAGCAGGAAGACAGUGAGCUGCUCAGGUGUUCCUGAUAACACCAAGCAGCCACCUGGAAAGCCAAUAGGAAGACAGCUUACUGGAAGUCCAGAGGGCUGGCUUAGUGAAGGAAAUUUAAAGUUGAAGCAGAAAGUUAACAAAGAAAGUUGAAAACCACCUUCUGAUCCCUGAAAUAUCUGAGUUUUCACACAAAGAACGCCUGAACAUGUCAUGUUAUUUUAGAAAACGAAUCAACUUAGAGGCAUUUGUUCACACGUGGCUGAAUAGGAGGCCGUCCAAUCAGAUUGGAGGUCUUCACUCUGUAGGUUGUUUGUUGGGUGAGACUCUUGGACCUCCAUCAGCUGACGUGGAUGUUUGAUGGUCUUCCUCUCUCGUGCCAGAUGAUUCAUCCAUGAAUUCAGCAGCUACAGACUGAAAUGAAGCUCAUGCUGCCGUUAUUGAAUUCCUGUUCCAGAUCAAAUGUUCAGAGCUCACCUUGAAUGCAGCCGUCUGCUAUCUGAUAGUUUUUCUCAUUGUAGUCUUCAAUAAAGUCUUUUUCCUCAUGUCAGGAUGUGGUGAGACUCUUUCUCAGUCUCUGCAGACGUCCCUCAUUGUGCAUCUCCAGAGAAGAAACAGAAAAACUGAUCACUGCUUCAGCAUCAAACGCUCUCCAGCACUGAGAGUGUUUUAGGAAUUCAUUCAUUGUGUUGUGAACUUUGAAGGAGCAGAAACUUUACAGCUGCCAAAGAUAUGAGCUCCAAUUCUGAUGUUUUAGGAAAUGAAGUUCAUCAAAUGAACACUUGAUUUUUGCUGAUAACUCUCAUUAAAUUACUGAAGAAAUCCAACAUAAAAACUUGUAAACUAUCAGGCAGCUUUUGUUAAAGUUUGUCUAUAAUUCUAUCAUCAUGUUCUGGAACCAGGACUCUGCAGAAGUUCCUUCAAUCAGAUACUUGUGUGUUUCUCUAUUUAAGGCCUCAGGUUUGAACGUACAGCAGAGGAUUAGAAAGGAGUGAUUUUAAUAUUUAAAUCAGUCCAGUAAAUGUUUGGAGUAAAAAUGAUAAAAUUUUUGAUUUAGAUAGAUUUGUGUCAAAUAAUAAUGUAGAGUCUCACUUAAAUGUCAGCUAAGGUAAAACUAUCCUUUUAACGUACGCUUUGAACAGAUUAAAUGCACGAACCAAAAGGAAAUACAUAUGACAAUGUGCAUUUCAGUUUCUUGCUUUAAUUUGUUUUUAUCUAGGCAUUUCAAAUCCUCUACAGUUGUGCCAGUUUUGGUUUGCUUCUCAAAAGCAUGUUAAUCCUCAGGUGACGCGUCUUUGUCCCACUGCAGGUCGCUGGUCGAAGCAGUUCGUAGAGUCGGGAUGCUUGGAGGAAAAUGAGCUUCGCCGGCUUUCACAUGGAGAUGUUGCUGUAGAUGCUGCUGUAGAGCUGAUCGAUCUUCGCCUUGAAGAAUUCCUGUUUUUGCGCCAAAAUUCAUGAUGAUUUUUUUUCCAAAGAAAACCUUUCUGGAGUGUUUUUCACAGCCUCCUUUACAUUAUUUCAUCAUAUGGCACGUUUUUACAACAUGUUGAAAAAUCGUAUUUUUUUCCGACAUAGUAUAUUAUGUCGACAAAAAAAUGUGUUCUAAUGCUACAUUGUGUUAGCUAAUUCUGUUGAGAGGCUAAUUGAUGAUUAGAAAACCAUUGUGCAAUUAUGUUAGCACAUGCAUAAAAGUAUGAGUUUUCAGUUAGCUAACACAAUGUAGCAUUAGAACACAGGAGUGAUGGUUGCUGGAAAUGUUCCUCUGUACCUCUAUGGAGAUAUUCCAUUAAAAAUCAGCUGUUUUCAGCUAGAAUAGUCAUUUACCACAUUAACAAUGUCUAGACUGUAUUUAUCAUUCAUUUCAUGUUAUCUUAACUGAAAAAAAUGCUUUUCUUUCAAAAAAAUCAGGACAAUUCUAAGUGACCCCAAACUUUUGAACAGUAGUCUAUAUGUAAUGGGUGAAAAGGUGUCAAACGACUGAUUACCUACCUUUAAGUGAGAAGCUCCGUUUGGGGAAGUAAAUUAAAUGUACUCAUUCAGUCCCUGAGGCAAACUUUAACUGUAGUUUCACAUCUGCAGAAAAACGGACUCAUUCUGACUUCAGAUCAGGAAACAGACUCAAACAGCACGUAGUCGGUCAGAGGCUGAAAAUUAACUUCCAGUCAGAGACAUCUGGAAAAAAAGACGAGGCUCAACAUAAUUAUUCUGCUUUAUGUAGUUGGAUUUAAACAACACAUUUAAGAAACCAAGUUUUAUUAUUCCAAAGGGGCACUUUAUACAAUAUCAAGGUAGGAAUUAAAUAUGGAAUCAAAUUGAUGAAACAAAGCAGGCAGUGUACGAGACCAUUGCAGCUUGCAUAAGAACACUUCAGCCUCGUCUCCGUUGGCAGCAGAGCUCAG